AUGAACGCUGGCGGCGUGCUAACACAUGCGAGUCGAACGAAGCAGCUUCUGCUGCAAGAAAGCUGACUUAGUGGCGGACGGGUGAGUAACGCGUGGGUAACCUGCCUCAUACAGGGGGAUAACAGUUGGAAACGACUGCUAAGACCGCAUAACCCGCUAGUGUCGCAUGACACGGACGGAAAAAUAUUUAAUUUUAACGAGUUAAAAUUUGGUAUGAGAUGGGCCCGCGUCUGAUUAGCUAGUUCGGUAAGGUAACGGCUUACCAAGGCGACGAUCAGUAGCCGACUUGAGAGAGUGAUCGGCCACAUUGGGACUGAGACACGGCCCAAACUCCUACGGGAGGCAGCAGUGGGGAAUAUUGGACAAUGGGGGGAAACCCUGAUCCAGCGAACCGCCGCGUGAGUGAAGAAGUAUUUCGGUAUGUAAAGCUCUAUCAGCAGGGAAGAUAAUGACAGUACCUGACUAAGAAGCCCCGGCUAACUACGUGCCAGCCGCAGC
rnacentral:rRNA from 1 species